rnacentral:lncRNA from 1 species
CCCUGUAUAUUCUGCGAAAUGCGAGGAGUGCGCGGACGAUGAAUGUGGAGUGUGAUAUUCAUCAAUCCGGCACUCCACUAGCUUAAUUGGUUCAAUUUAUCAGACCAUGGCGAAGGAUGUUAGAGGCACCCAGUACAACUAAAACCGAAACCCGUAAAAAAAUGGGCACCCAACAAACCAAGUGCCAGCAGUCAAAAGUUAGAUUCUGUUUGAUGCAACAAAUAUUAAAAUGCGUUAGAAGAUCCCAAUGGUUCUCAGUUAGCCGAUGCUGAUGUAUUAAAUGUCGUGUAAAUUACGUGAUAGAAAACUCUUUCAAGUUAAUUUGUUCAACACCGAGCUUAAACCAUAGUAAAACGACAAAAAUAUAAAUAUACCUCCAUCGAAGUUUAUACUAGCAUAAUUGGAUAACUACUGUUAGAAUUGCUGAAUUAUAGAGAAAAAACCCAAAUAGUUCCUUAAUUAAUUAAAGCUACAGAAGUUGCCACUUCGAAGAAACGUUCUUGCACAAGGAAUAGUUGCCAAAAGGUUGCCGAGCAACUUGUGGACAGGAUAUUGUCCGUUAUGCAUGCAGGAAGAGUAAAAAAUUGAAUUGACCAAAUAUGCCUAAGGGCCCGGGUACGCCACUGCACGCGGUAAACAGCAUUAAAAUUUCCAGAGUGAUGGUCAGAUACAUACAUACGCCCUACAUUGCAUAUUUCAUCAUUUAUCCAACCAGCUGAUAGGUGAUUUGAUCGCAUCCAUGCACUUUUGAGUUACUGGAGCAUGCUUGUUCAAGUCUGUUGGGACGGGUACAAAAUUCGACUUCAUUGAAAUAUUGUAUUCAGUUUUGCUAAGAAAUUGCACGAUGUCAAACCGAUUUGGGACAUAUGAACAUGUGCAAUAGCUAAUACACCCUUCCGGAAAGUACGUCAUUUUGGCUAUAGAGCCUCGUUUUCGUGUAUUUUUUUUAACAGCUUUAUUAGGAACUUAAUAUAUUACAUUAAUAAGGUACAAAUACAACAAACAUGCAGUUCCUAAACGGGAAAAUAGCGAACGGGCCAUAAUAGCCCAUGCGAGGCUACCUCCCGAUGUAUCUGACAUCAGUUAGGCAGACAUCAAGGCCGCGUCUCAAUCACGAAAACGAGGCUCUAUAGCCAAAGUGACGUACUUUCCAGAAGCGUGUAUUAUAGAGUAUUGUAUGGAGUGCAAAUGAACAUGGAAGUGAGAUUCACAUUCUAUUUGAUCAGAGGCUCUUCCAACUUCGCCUUUCUAGCUUCAUGCAGUUUGCCUCGCCGUUUUUUAAGAGCCUUUCGAACCAGGGUACGAAUUUCGAUCCGUUUUUUUCGAAUCGUGAUGGUUUGAGGGCGGUGACCACAAAGUGAAAAAAUAGGUACGCGACGCGUACAUGUAUCUGCGAAAAAACUUGAUUCACAUUUUGUAUUUUCUUGAAAGAAACUGAAUAAUGAAGAUGACAUGGGACAAUUGAAAUAUUUCAUCACUUAUUAUAAUGGCAGAUAAGAUUUAAAACAGGGCUGUACACAGCGGGGAGUGCAGCAGGGCAAGUACAACCACAACCACCCCCCCCCACCCCCCCACCGAGAAAAUUUAACUAACUUUAUAAUGUGAUUAUGAUUGUAACAGAUAAUUAUGCAGUCAGGAAAUAAAAAUUUCAUGCAAACAAUAUUCAAAGUGUCUAUACAGCCAGCUAUUUAGUAAACUGUCACCUGUCAAUUCAAUCCAUACUCAUCAAAUUUUGAAAACUUUAUUGUAAUCAUAUGAAGCAAAAGUUAUGUCACUUGUUGUUUAUACUUGCCAAUGUUAACUGUUGAGUAACAUACACAAAAUAUUUGGUGAACAUGUCGAAGACCACUGAACAAUUGAGAAUGUUUUGAAGGUCAUGAGUGAAGUGUAUAAUUAAAUUCCAGUUCUGUGCACAGUUAAUGAUAUACCACACUGUUCGGUUUAACACGUACAGCACAUUCACACAAAAACAAUCGUGUUGUGGGAGAUUAUCGGUUUGAGUAGAAGGUAUCACAAGUUUAGUUUUGUACAUUGUGUGCCAUUGAUCAAAUCCACCAUAUAAUAUAUAUGAUUAUUCAUUGUAGCUGUUAAGUUAUUUUCCAAAACAAUGAAUUUAGGUAAGAUUGUCUUGCAAGUUGGUUGUUCUGACAAAAUUAUCCAGCCAAUAUCCAGUACAUUUAUUCUUCAUUCUUGUAUUAAUCUCUAAAGAAAAAUAUUUAUGUUAGAAAGCAAAAUGACAAUGUAAUGAGGCUCGGGAGGGUGAGGAUUCUUUUAUUUGAAAAUGUUUGUAAAAAUUUUGUUUAAUUAACUCUAAUGUGUAAAACCAAAAUGCAUAAUUAUUUUAACUGAUAACAUCUUCAACCUUAGCUCUAACACUACAUUUGAUGACAGCUUUAUAGUUGGACUGUUGUUUUGAACAGAGUUAUGGAGUAGUCAAUAUACAGAAAUACAGGACCAGGAUUUAAUUCAAUAUCUCCUGAGAAUGUUUUCACUGUUUAAAAUAUUACAGAAGUCACAGAAGGAUUGUUUUUAA